GGGGUUAUGAUGUCUGCUUUACAUGCAGAUGGUCCUGGGUUCAGUCCCCAGUAAGCUCA
rnacentral:tRNA from 1 species